AGCAGCCGCGGUAAUUCCAGCUCCAAUAGCGUAUAUUAAAGUUGUUGCAGUUAAAAGCUCGUAGUUGAAUUUCGGGGUCAGCAAGUUGGUCGUGCCACUGGUAUGUACUGGCUUUGCUGAUUCCUCCUUCUUGUAGAACCGUAAUGCCAUUAAGUUGGUGUUGCGGGGAAACAGGACUGUUACUUUGAAAAAAUUAGAGUGUUUAAAGCAGGCUAACGCCUGAAUACAUUAGCAUGGAAUAAUGAAAUAGGACGAGCGAUCCUAUUUUGUGGUUUCUAGGAUUGACGUAAUGAUUAAUAGGGAUAGUUGGGAGCAUUAGUAUUCAAUUGUCAGAGGUGAAAUUCUUGGAUUUAUUGAAGACUAACUACUGCGAAAAGCAUUUGCCAAGGAUGUUUCAUUAAUCAAGAACGAAAGUUAGGGAUCGAAGACGAUCAGAUACCGUCGUAGUCUUAACCAUAAACUAUGCCGACUAGGGAUCGGAUGAUGUUAAUUUA
rnacentral:rRNA from 1 species